rnacentral:misc_RNA from 1 species
CUCAAUUUUCAGCUCAAUCGUUGUGUUUUCCUUCCAAAGGCAAUCCAUAAUUCCCCAUUCAUGGAGCAGCAAUCACCCUCUUUUACCAGCAUUUUGCGGAUAUCUCUCUUCAGAGCCCAGUUACCUUUCUUAUUCUCAACGAUCAUCUAUAGUAUAAAGGGUAUUAGCACUUAUUUGUUCUCACAGAGUCAACAUUUGAAAUUGCAAGAUUCAGCAACUACUGCAUUUAUUGUACAAAAAACCAGUACUCGAUUUCCAUUUCCUUUUAUGAGAGGAG